AUAACUGAAGCAUUUCCAUAGAGAGCCACUUUGCAUCAGCAGCACCAUGCUCCAGUGCUCUGGGAGAGUUUAUAGUCCUGAGAGUUGAACACUGGAUGACUGACAGCUGUCCUUCAUGACAACAGAAGACACAGAAAUCCUCCUCAUCAAAAACAUGACUUUGACCUGCGUCCUCAUCUGGACUCUCCUCUGCUGCUGCUUCACAGAAUCCAGAGGUCAGUACACAGUGACUCAGCCUGCAGCAGUGAGCUCUGCUCUGGGAGGCUCCGUCACCAUCAACUGUAGGACCAGUCGGGAUGUUUAUUAUCAUACUGAGCACCCAUACCACCAUUUAGCCUGGUACCAACAGAGAGAUGGAGAAACUCCUAAACUCCUAAUUUACAGGGCUAGCACUCGAGUGUCAGGGAUUCCAGGUCGUUUUACAGGCAGCGGAUCAAACUCUGCCUUCACUCUGACCAUCAGUGGAGUUCAGGCUGAAGAUGCAGCAGUUUACUACUGUCAGAGUUAUCACUGGGUGAACAGUCAAAGUUCGUUCACACAGUAA